UGAUUUCUGGUACUUGUAUCAGAAUGAAGAGUAGCGAACGGGUGAGUAACGCGUGGGUAACCUACCUCUUAGCGGGGGACAACUAUUGGAAACGAUAGCUAAUACCGCAUAACAAUAUUUAACACAUGUUAAGUAUUUGAAAGCACCAAUUGGUGCACUAAGAGAUGGACCCGCGUUGUAUUAGCUAGUUGGUAGUGUAAUGGACUACCAAGGCGAUGAUACAUAGCCGACCUGAGAGGGUGAUCGGCCACAUUGGGACUGAGACACGGCCCAAACUCCUACGGGAGGCAGCAGUAGGGAAUCUUCGGCAAUGGACGAAAGUCUGACCGAGCAACGCCGCGUGAGUGAAGAAGGUUUUCGGAUCGUAAAACUCUGUUGUUAGAGAAGAACGUCAGUGAGAGUGGAAAGUUCACUGAGUGACGGUAUCUAACCAGAAAGGGACGGCUAACUACGUGCCAGCAGCCGCGGUAAUACGUAGGUCCCGAGCGUUGUCCGGAUUUAUUGGGCGUAAAGCGAGCGCAGGUGGUUUAAUAAGUCUGAUGUAAAAGGCAGUGGCUCAACCAUUGUGUGCAUUGGAAACUGUUAGACUUGAGUGCAGUAGAGGAGAGUGGAAUUCCAUGUGUAGCGGUGAAAUGCGUAGAUAUAUGGAGGAACACCGGUGGCGAAAGCGGCUCUCUGGACUGUAACUGACACUGAGGCUCGAAAGCGUGGGUAGCAAACA
rnacentral:rRNA from 1 species